CACAAAUGAAGAACUGCAGCCACUGCUCAGCGCCAAUUUCACCGCUGAGCGUUGGUCUUGAUGACGAAUCCACUGCCUGACCCUUGAGCGUCAACGCUGAGGGGAAAUUCAAGUGUCGCAACCACCAUUGAGCGCCACCUUUGCCGCUGAGUGCCAGCCUCUUCAGUGAGUUCACUUCCUCACACCUGGGCAUCAAUGCUAAGUGUUAUUUCUGAGUGUCCCACUUACCUCUAAGCGGUAUUUUAGCGUUGAGCGCCAUUGUAACACCCCUAACGGAGUGCCACUAGAAAAUAAUAGAAUCUGAAAUAUUUAAGCGUCUUAGAACAUAAAGUUCAACCUUACAAUAUCAAAUCCAUUAUUCAAAAACAAGAAAUAACUUUAAAACAUGAUAAAUUCCCCAUAGCAAAUUCCCAAAUCUCUCAUCGUGCUACUCCAGCCUUGCAUUAUCUGCAACACCAUCUACUUCCGUACAAGUACGAUCAUUGUAGGUGGAACCACAACCACAAAAGUAAAGGGUGAGUAACUAAGGACAUAACAUAGCAUAUAACUUCAAAGACAACAUCAUAACAUAGACUAAAAUAGUCAUCACAUCACAACACUUCUCAGUAUUCAACUCAUAACUUAAAUCAUCACCACCCAGACUAUCAUAGUCAUAACAUUACAAUACAUCACAGUAUUAAACUCACAACUCAAGUCAUUUACACAAGCUUCUGUUGUUUCCUUGAAUUUUGUCGUACCAAACCUGUUUCGCAAAACANNGCGAUUCGAGCCNCCUUCCAUCGCAACUUCAGGCCUAUCUCCCCGACUCCUCAAGGAAUUACGAGCAAAAACUUUGGUUAGGCGCACCCACCGAGCAGUAUACUCACACGAGCCGAAGUCAUUGGGCGAGACAUCCAACCCUCUCUAGUCCUCGCAUACGAGAAUAGGGUGACACUCGAAUCUCAGUCUCCGUAGAGAACUCAACACACUAUCGUAUCGCAAUACGAACACCAUCGGUUCGACAAAAAUUCUAAGGAAAUGACAGAACACUUGCUCUCACAACUUCACCAUCACAACCAUACACAUACCGCAUAUUCAAAGUCAACCAAAUUCAUUAACCAACAAUUAAUUAAAAAUACUCAAAUAAUUAAAUCAAUCAAUUUUUCACAAUAAAAAUAAUUUAAUUAUUUUCCUAUUUGCGCACCCCCGUGAAAUUAUUAAUCUCACCAUUCCAUUCCACUAGAACCAAUAUUUCUAGUGCACCCCCGCUUUUACUAAAAUCACAACACAUAAUAAAACACAAUUUUUCAUGUACCCCUUUUAUUUUAAAUACACCCCCUCUCUUAAAUUUACCAACCCAAGUGGACCCCAUUAAUCUUUUUAAUUUUAAACUCAAACUUUAUUUUACGCACUCCAAGUGGACCCCACUUGAAAUAACUUUUCUCACAAAAACUCUCUCUCUCCCUUUUUCCUACUUUUACGUAACCACUCUUCUCCCCUUUCUCUCUUUCUCUUUUAUUUUUAAUUAAAACCCAAAGUUUCACUAUUCCUAUCUUUCUCUCUCAAAAAUCGUGGACCCCACACCACUUUUACUAUCUAUUCUAAUGGUCAAAGUUAACAUUUCUCUCACUUGCACAAUUCCCUUACGUUGAAACUACACACACACCAAAUUACAAUUUCACUCUUCUCUCUCUUACCAAAAAGUUCACGGCCCCACACCAUACCUCACACACUCCUUAUUUCAUUUUGAUUUUCUCUCUUCAUUCUACGUAACACACAUCCCAUGCAUUCCCAUCUUUUUUUUCUUCUUUUUCAACAUAAAACAAAACUCCAUUCUCUUUCUCACUCUCAACAUGUUUCUUUCACGCUGCAACAUCCCAACACUCCUUCCCCUUCAUUAUCUUCUUCCUCCAAUGACAUCAAACUUCUUCUUUCUUCAUUACUUUCAUCAACCCCAUAUACCCCAUCUCACAACAACAUCACUUUCACUCCUCUCAUACUCAUAACUCACUCUUUUCUCUUCCAANNNNNNNNNNNNNNNNNNNNNNNNNNNNNNNNNNNNNNNNNNNNNNNNNNNNNNNNNNNNNNNNNNNNNNNNNNNNNNNNNNNNNNNNNNNNNNNNNNNNNNNNNNNNNNNNNNNNNNNNNNNNNNNNNNNNNNNNNNNNNNNNNNNNNNNNNNNNNNNNNNNNNNNNNNNNNNNNNNNNNNNNNNNNNNNNNNNNNNNNNNNNNNNNNNNNNNNNNNNNNNNNNNNNNNNNNNNNNNNNNNNNNNNNNNNNNNNNNNNNNNNNNNNNNNNNNNNNNNNNNNNNNNNNNNNNNNNNNNNNNNNNNNNNNNNNNNNNNNNNNNNNNNNNNNNNNNNNNNNNNNNNNNNNNNNNNNNNNNNNNNNNNNNNNNNNNNNNNNNNNNNNNNNNNNNNNNNNNNNNNNNNNNNNNNNNNNNNNNNNNNNNNNNNNNNNNNNNNNNNNNNNNNNNNNNNNNNNNNNNNNNNNNNNNNNNNNNNNNNNNNNNNNNNNNNNNNNNNNNNNNNNNNNNNNNNNNNNNNNNNNNNNNNAACACAAAAGAAAGAAAGCAUGCAUCAAUAUUAUCAUGUUACCUUCUACCCAUCAUACACUAUAUGAUAUCCCAAGUUAAACCCCUUACCUCUAGUUCCAAGCAAGCUUCCAAAGGCUCUUAGGUUUCCUCCCUUCACUAGACUCCAAGUCUUCACUCCUCUAAGACUCUCUCAAGUCACGGCCACCACCCAAACACUAGGAUGUUCUUCUUUCUCUCACCAACUUGAUUGGUCUAGAACAAUAUAGUGUUUCUCCACUCACUCUCACGGCUCUCUCUCCCUCUCUCUCCAAGUGUUUAUUUUAUUUUUUAUUUUUCUGACUUAAACUUACACAUUUAAGUAGAGACUAACUCUCAACCCUACUAACCCUUAACCACUUUAUUCUAGGUCACUCCACAUUAACACCAAUAAAACCUCUCUUUAACGUAUGUAAAUGGUAGUUUUUAAAAGGUGUUAAAGUGCCCCUUAACUCUCAUUUAUGUAACCUACAAUUACUAAUAGAAUGGUAACCUCCCACAAGGAAAUCAAAGGUCAUUUAAUAUUUCCAAAGUCUAGAAAACAUGUGUUCCAACCCAUGAAAAAAAUGAAACCUACUAGCCAAGCCUGCAAGUAACGUAUGGAAGUACAAAAUGGGAAGCAAAAGCCCACCAUUGAACGUUACUUCAUUCAUUCAUUUUUAUUUUAUAUUUUUUUUUCAACCAUGCAAAAGGAACUUAUAAUAAAAGCAACCAAUAAAAAGAACACAUGUUGCAGCACACAAAAAAAAGGACGUGAAAAGGCUCUCCUUCUCAACUUUCUCAUACCAAUUUACAUGCACACAAAGUAUUAAAAAUAAUUUUACCCUACUACAUUCUCUCUCAUCAUUUAAUGGAAUAAACAAAGCAAGUUUCAUUCAUGAAAUUCACACAACAAUUGACGUGCUGCAACACCCGACUUCAUGUUCCAAGCUUUUGAUUUCCUCUUUCUUAUGUCAUGAUGGGACCCACAUGCCAAGGCGGAAAUUAAAAAGAGCUAGGAGACUCUUUGAACUUGGAAGGGUUUGAACUUGAAACCAAGCACACAACCCUCCCAUGCACACACACAAUCACCACUAGACAAGACUCCAUUUGCUGAUAAAAUAUUUCUCAGCAACGUUUCACAUCACAAUUAUUAUCUAAUAUCACAAAAAUAAAAUACUUAAAGUAAGUAAUCACUUUAUUUAUACGGGUCUUACAGCCAUUUUCGUGGGCCUGGGCCAAUUUUUCUGUUAUUUUUAUAAGCUAUAUAAGGGUUUAGGCGACCUAGAGGGUAUAUCAUUUGACAAAAAGAGGCACAAAAACACUCUCUUCACCCCUCGAAAGCAAAUUUUGGAUGCGGAAGCUCCCAUCUAGAACUAUUAGGGUUCUAUCUUAUAUUCUUUUCAUUAUAUUCAUCUAGUUUCACCAUGUCUAUAGUGAAGUAAACCUCCAUUGUUGUUGGGGAAACAAUGUAAUCCUUUGAAACUCUCAUGUAUUGAAUUGAUCUUGAUUAUAUAUGCUUUACUUUAUUAAUUGUUAGGGUUUUUCCUCUCUGCUUUAUGCCUGUUUUGUUUAACUCAUUCAAUUGCAUGAUCUUUGAUUUUGUCGAUAUGGACACAUACGGGGAAAUCUAGACAUGGGGGAAUUCUUUCGGAAGCAAUAUUACCUAAACAUAUAGGAGGACCGAUUGCCUUUAAGCUUCUUUGUGAGUGUAAUGCAUGAUUACUUGAUAGGGAGAUAAGACAUUGUAAACUAGUAAUUAGGAGUGGGCUCUCUUCACCGAGACAUCGGGUUUAGGGUAAAUUAGAAAGUGGCAUUGACAUUAAUGAAGGAGUUGAAUUCGUAAAUACAUGAGAAUGGAUAGGAUAAAGUCAAAUUCUUUGGUCAAUUGAUCACAACUGUAUUCAUGUUUAUUUUUUGUUUUGCAUUCUAAACCUAAUUUUCGUUCUCAAGUCUUAAAUAAUCAACAAAUCACAUGACUGUUUAUGCCAAUCAGUCUCUAGGGAAAACGAUACUCGGUCUUACCAUUUAUAUUAAUUAAUACGAUUUGGUACACUUGCCGGAGUGUUAACAUGGUCGCUGUAAAGACCUUGUUGUAAAAAUUAGAUCUUUAUAGUGCAAUUGGCUUUCAAUCUCCGGUUGAUUGAAAGGACACUAGACGUAGGCAAUUGAGGCCGAACCAGUAUAAACUCUGAGUUUGAAUUUUCUUCUCCCUAUCUUUCUACAUUAAUCGAUUAUAUUAUGUCUUUUUUUGAAUACUUAUAUUUAUAUAUUGCAUACAUUUUUGCCUACUGUUCAAGAAAGGUUUAAAGACAUAUAGUAUUUGCGAAAAAGAUUUCAAAAGCGAUCAUUUUUACAAAACACCAAUUCACCCCCCUCUCGGUGGUGAGAAACAAAGCGCAUCUUUUCUAACAAUUGGAACCAGAGCUGGUUUUCAAAUGUUAUUUGAAAAACAAAUCGAUUAACCUUGUUGUCUAAUCGAUUGUUCUAUCCUGAAAAUGGCUUUUUUUUUCCUAGACCUUUGGUGAAGGUGCAUCCACAAAUAGACCACCUUUAUUUGUUGACAAAAACUAUGCCUUUUGGAAAAUAAGAAUGCAAAUUUUUCUUGAAUCAGUUGACAAGGGUGUAUGGGAUGCAACUCUCAAUGGUCCAUUUGAACACACUCAUGUGAUAAAUGGAAAAAUUGUUUUUGAAAAACUUUUCUGAGUGGACUCAAGAGGAAAACCGGAGAGCACAGUAUGAUGUAAAAGCCUAAAAUGUUAUUGCUUCUGCUCUCACAAUGGAUGAGUUUUUCAGGGUUUCCCAAUGUAAUACAACUAAAGAUGUGGGAAGUUCUUGAAGUCACACACGAGGGAAUAGAUGAAGUCAAGUUGGCCAGAAAGAAUUCUUUGGUACAUGAGUACGAAAUGUUUAGGUGAAAGCCGGAGAAACCAUCUAUGACGUGCAGAAAAGAUUCACACAUAUUUUCAACCAUUUCAUGGCUCUCAGCAAGGCCUUUAAAAAUGAAGAAAUCAAUAUCAAAAUCUUGAAAAGCCUAAACAGAAGCUGGCAACCUAAGGUAACUACUAUAUCUAAGUCAAAAGAUUAAACUAACAUGAAUAUGGCAACCUUGUUUGGCAAGUUCAGGGAACAUGAGCUAGAGCUUGGUAGAAUGAGGGAAGAAGAUGAGAUUGAACAAAAGCAAUCGAUUGCUCUCAAGGCUACAAAUAAAAGAACCUCCAAGAAGGCUGCAUAUGAUGUUGAGUUUGAUGCAAAAAUACCUGAAAAAGAGAUCAUGAAUAUGAUGGUAAAGAAGUUUACUAAAUUCAUGAAAAAUAGAACUAUUGCAACUGACCAUGCAGGUUACUCAAAAGGAGGGAGGAAGAACUCCAAGAACAACACUGUGACAUGCUAUGAAUGCGGCAAAGAUGGUCACAUAAAGCCAGAAUGUCCAGAGUUUAAAAAUAGAAAGGUUUACAUCGCCUGGGAGAACAGUAAUGAUGAUACAUCAAGUGAUGAUGGCCAUAGUGUUGAGGAGGAGUCAAACCUAUGCAUUAUGGCAGGAUCUAUGCAUUCUGAAGAUAUCGAUACUAACUUUGAAAGAGAACCUAUAAAAGUAAAAUAUGACUUACUCUUGGAUGCCUUUCAAGAGUUACAUGCUGAAGCCAUGAAACUUCAAUACAAGGUAAAUCGAUUAAGUUUUGAAAGAAAAGAUUAUGAGUAUCGUAUUGAUAUCCUUGUAGAAGAAAAUGAAAAGCUCAAACAGGAAUUAGAAGCUACCUUGCAAUCUGUUAAAACUGAAGUUUAGGUUGUGGAGAAGAAAUUUGAAAAUUAUCCUGCACAUUUAGAGAAAAUUGAUUACUUACUAUCUAAAUUUACUCUAGGAAGAGAUAAUUUAGAUGUUGUUUUAAGGUCUAGGGGUAGAGCAAUAAAUAAACAAGGAAUAGGUUAUAAAGCUAAGAGCAAUAGAAUUAAUCCUAAAAAAUUCAUUGAUCUAAGCAAACCUAUUACAAAUGCUUGCUUUUAUUAUAAUACUAUAGGACAUAUUGUCAGGAAGUAUUACUACAGAAAGGUUCGUGUUCCAAGAGGGAAGUACAAAUGGAUUCCAAAGGAACAACCUCCUGUAACUAACCACAAAGGACCUAAGUUUGUAUGGGUACCUGAUUCAAAACCUUUUGAAUGUUUUGCAAGAAAGUAAGCUGCUCCAUGAUAACGGUUUAAAAGCCAUUAUUUUUAUACUUGAAAUUGAUAUCAAAACACACCCUUUAUAACUUAGAAUGAACUUAAAAUCAUGCAAAACACUAAAGUUAGGUUACAAGAGAGUCAAAGGUGGUUUUAGAGAUAUUAUGUUUGGUUUUACAUUGUUUUGUCAAGAUUUAAUGAGAAUUGAAGGAUGGGAAGUGAAGUAGGAAGGAGUUGGACUCAAGAAAGGAUGAAGAAAGGUGCAAAAGAGGAAUCACACUCACCCAUCAGCGCCAAUCUUAGCGAUGAGCGCCAGCCUUGUGGAAGACUUAUGGUCAGAUGCUUAAGCGCCAACGUUGAGGGGUGAAUGAAGAACGGUGUCUACCACUGAGCGCCAAAAGCCAUCGUUGAGCGCUGAGAUCUUCAGUUCAGUACGGCAGGACGCCUAGACAUCAACGCUGAGCGGUCCAGUGGAGUGUCGCACCUACUGCUUAGCGGUGAAACCAGCGCUGAGCGUUGUAGUUGAGCUUGGGCCAAAAUUCUGUAAUUUUUCAUAGCUUAUAAAUCGACCCUCAGAAAAAUUCUAGGGUAAUCUUUUGGCAGAGAAAGACGACAUAAUACUUUCUACACUCUUUGGAGGCGAAUUCUGGAUGCUAAGGCUCCAAUUCACCAAUUCUAGGGAUUAUUCUUUCAUUCUUUCCAUUAAAUCCAUAUAGUUUCACCAUGUCAAUGGUAAACUAAACCCUUUGUUGUUGGGGAAUGAUGUAAUCCUUUUGAAACUCUCUUAUAUCGAAAUUCCUAUUGUAUUCAUAUACUUGUAUUAUCAAUAGUUUGAGUUUUCUUUUCUGUACUUUAAAGCUUGCAUUGUUUAACUCAUUUAGUGUCAUGAUCUUUGAUUUUGUCGAUACGGGGAUGUACGGGAAAUCUAGAACUGAGAAGAAUUCUCUUGAUUAUGAAAUAUUGCCUAGAGAUAGGAAUAUGAUGGUCAAUUGCUUUAAGCUUCUGUCAUUAAUGCAUUAGUAAUUGUAGGGAGAUUAGAGAUAGUAAACUAGUAAUUAUGGUAAAAGGCUCUUUUCGCUGAGAGAUUGGGUUUAGAGUAAAUUAAAAAGUUGCAUGAACAUUGAUAAUAAAGUGGAAUAUAAUAGGAAUAGUAGAUAUAGGAGGGUGGAUCAGGAUGAAACCGUAAACCCCAACAACUUCAUUCAUUCAUAUCUUUAUCUAUCAAUUGAUUCAACUUUUGCAAUUGCAUGUUUAAUUUCGUUUUUGCAUUACAAUAUCAAAUUAUUAUUCUUUCAAGUCAUAGUCCCUUGGGAAACGAUAUCUGGACUUACUGUUCUAUUAUUACUUGAUACGAUCUGGUACACUUGCCAAAGUGUCAACAAGUUUUUGGCGCCGUUGUCGGGGACUCGUUUGGUUUAACUUUUCUAGUAGUGUGAAUUUGAUUAAAUUUUACUUGAUUUUUAAUUUUCGUUUGUAUUUGUUUUUGUUUUUAUUUUUUUAUAUAAAAGUGCUUUUUAGGGUUUUUGUUUCUUGUGUAUGCAGGAAGCAAUUCACACUAGAAGGAAGAAAAAUCAACCUCUUCUCGAAGGAUUAAGUGACAGGAGGGGGAAGAAAGUCAGAAGACCAUCCAGAGAGUUAUUUCCCUCUCGUGAAAGCCUUUUACAACUCUCACCAGAGGUAUUUACUCAAAGCACAAAAGAGAUAGCACAAGGAGCUCCUAGACGUACUUUAGCUAACGCAACUAAUGUUGUUGGUCCCCAAUACUUUAAUAGCAUUGCUAUGCCGAGGGACAACACAUUGAAUAUGGUGAUGAAUCCUGCUUUGAUACACCUAGUGUAGAGUAAUCAAUUCAAUGGAUUGUCAAAUGAAAGCCCUUAUGAUCAUCUUACGACAUUCAACGAAAUAUGAAAUACUAUGAAGAUCAGUGGAGAGUCAGAUGACAUGAUAAAAUUUAGUUUGUUUCCUUUUUCGUUAGGAAGCAAUGCUAAGUUGUGGCUAAAUUCCUUUCCAGAGGGGAUCUUUACAACAUGGGAGGCUGUUGUUUCUAAAUUCUUGAGUAAAUAUUUCCCACAGUCCAAGAUUAACAGUGGAAAACUAGAGAUCUCUUCAUUCAGACAAGGCAUAUAGGAGACUCUAGGUCAGGCUUGGGAAAGGUUUAAAGGUUUACUGAGAAAGACGCAUGUACAUGGUUUUGGCAGAACAACAUUGGUGCUCACAUUCCUUGGAUGCCUUGGUACUCAAUCCAAGCUUAAGUUGAAUGCUACAGCUGGAGGUAAUAUUAAGACAAAGACUGAUGAGGAAGCUUAUGAUCUUAUAGAAAAUAUGGCGGCCAGUAAAGAUGAGGUGAAUUGUGAAAGUGUUGAUUUUAUCCAACAACAAGAAAUUCCAUUGUCACAAUAUUAUGAUGUUAUAUUGGAACAAUAUAUGAUGAUCACUCAAUAGUUGGAGGCAAUUAUACAAAGAUUUUCUGUAGUACCGCAGGAAAUUAGAAAAAUUUCAAGAAUUCAAAAGCAACCACAAAUCAUGCUGUUGAGGAGAAAUGUAGAGUCUGAAGAGCUUUUUCAACAGGUUUUGAAUAAAAGUGUAUUUUAUAUUAAAAGCUUGGAGCACAUGAACACUAAAUUGGAAAAACAUGGGUGUGAGAGGAAUGUGAGAGGUGCUACAAGGGAAGAGUGUGAGACUGUUGUCACUAGAGAAAAAAUGAGAAAAGAGAAAAAGAAAAAGAAAGUGAAGAAAAGAAGAGUAAUCAGAGGGAGAAAAAAGAGGAAGAAAAAAAAUUGUGAUGAGUGAAAAAAUGAGAGUUGAGGGAGAAAUAAAGAAAGAAGAGGUUGAAAAAUUAAGAGAAAGAGAGUUUGAAAAACCCCUUCCUUAUCCUAAGAUAUAUUCAAGGAAUGAAAAAGAAAAAUAGUUUGAGCUAUUUAUGGAGAUUUUUAAGAAGCUGGAAAUUACCAUAUCGUUUUCUGAGGCACUUCAGCAAAUGCCAUCAUAUGCAAAAUUCUUGAAAGAACUUCUCAUGAAGAAAAGAAAGUAUAUUGAGAAGGAAAUUAUUGAGGUGCAAGGUAAUUGCAGUGCGAUCAUACAGAAGAUGUUACCCCCUAAAUUGCAAGAUCCAUGAAGUUUUACCAUUCCAUGUACCAUAGGGGAGUUAGAAGUUGGAAGAUCCUUUAUUGAUUUGGAAGCUAGCAUUAAUUUAAUGCCCUUGUCUAUGUUCAAGAAAAUUAAAGGGUUGGAACUUAAGCCAACAAGGAUGACUGUUCAAUUGGCAGAUAGAUCUCUCAAAUAUCCAUUUGGAGUGGCGUAAGAUGUAAUAGUAAAGGUAUAUAAAUUUUUGCUUCUAGUGGAUUUUGUCAUAAUGGAGAUGGAAGAGAAUGGAGAUGCGCCUCUGAUUCUUGGAAGACCAUUUAUGAAGACAACCAGGAUUGUGAUUGAUGUAGAGAAUGGUAAACUUAAAGUCCGAGUGCAAGAUGAAGAGGUGGAUUUUGAUGUGUUUCAAGCAAUGUCACAUCCUAAAGAUGAUAAAGCAUGUUUUCAAGUGGACAUUGUGGAUGACCUUUGUAUGAUGCAAGGGAAUAGAGUGCGUGAUGUAUCUUUGUUGGAAAAUAUUCUCGUUGAUGAAUGUGAGGAUUAGAAUCAAGAGGAGGAAAAAUUGGUUGAAGGAUGUGUUAGGGAUUUGGAGUCAAUAAAAGAAAUUCCAAUAGAAGAAGUUAGUUUUGAAAAAAUUGAGCCCAAGGAGAAAGUUAAAGAAAGUAAGAUUGAGUUGAAAGAAUUGCCACCACAUUUGAAGUACGGGUUCUUAGAAGAUAAUGGAGGAAAGCUAGUUAUUAUUAGUAAUUCAUUAUCAUCAAAAGAAGAAGAAAAGUUGGUGGAGGUUUUGAAAGUUAAUAAAGGUGUUAUAGGGUGGUCCAUUUCAUAUCUCAAGGGUAUAAGUCCCACAUAUUGUAUGCAUAGAAUUCUUAUGGAGGAUGAUUAUAGGAGGCUUAAUCCUGUCAUGAAAGAGGUAGUGAGGAAGGAAGUAUUAAAGCUUUUGGAAGCAGGUAUUAUUUACCCAAUUUUUUACAGUAAAUGGAUAAGUCCAGUGUAGGUGGUUCCUAAGAAAUGAGGGAUGAGGGUAAUAUAUAAUGAAAAAAAUGAGCUUAUUCCUACAAGAACAGUUACGGGGUGGCGGAUGUGCAUUGAUUACGGAAACUAUAUACAGCCACUAGGAAGGAUCACUUUCUCUUGCCUUUUAUGGAUCAGAUGUUAGAAAGAUUGGCUGGACAAGUGUAUUAUUGCUUCUUAGAUGGGUAUUCUGGGUAUAAUCAGAUUGUGGUGGACCCUAAAGAUCGGGAAAGACAACCUUUACAUGUUCUUUUGGUGUAUUUGCUUAUAGAAAAAUUCCAUUUGGACUAUAUAAUGCCCCAGCCACAUUUCAAAGGUGUAUGCAGGCAAGUUUUGCAGAUUUUAUGGAGAAAAGUAUAGAAGUCUUCAUGGAUGAUUUUUCAGUGUUUGGAGAUUCCUUUCAGAGGUGUUUGACCAACCUGGAUGUUGUUCUUAAAAGAUGUGUGCAAAAAAAUCUGGUUUUGAAUUGGGAAAAAUGCCAUUUCAGCUAGGGGGAUUGAAGUGGAUAAAGCAAAAGUGGAGGUUAUUGAAAAACUUCCACAACCUACAAAUGUAAAAGGAAUUCAGAGUUUCUUGGGUCAUGUUGGGUUUUAUCGAAGAUUUACUAAAGGCUUCUCAAAGAUUGUUAAGCCGUUGAGUAAUUUGCUUGUCAAGGCCAUUUGUGAUGAGUAAAGAAUGUGUACAAGCUUUUAAUGUUCUGAAGAAAAGUUUGAUUCCUGCUACUGUGAUUGUGGCCCUAGAUUGGAGUAAACACUUUGAGCUGAUGUGUGAUGCUAGUGAUUAUGCCAUAGGUGUUGUGUUGGGUCAAAUAAGGGAAAAGGUAUUCCAUGCCAUUUACUAUGCUAGUAAACUUUUGAAUGAAGCUCAAUUGAAUUAUGCUACUGCAGAAAAGGAACUUUUGGUUGUAGUUUAUGCAUUGGAGAAGUUUAGAUCCUAUCUCAUUGGAUCUAAAGUGAUUAUUUAUACUAAUCAUGCGGCCAUAAAGUAUUUGUUGACAAAGCCAGACUCAAAGCCACGAUUAAUUAGAUGGGUGCUUUUGUUACAAGAGUUUGAUGUAGAGAUUUGCGAUAAAAAGGGAAGUGAGAAUUUAAUUGUUGAUCAUCUAUCUCGGUUAGUCAACAAGGAAGUUAAAAGCAAGGAGAAGGAAAUCUGGGAGUCUUUUUCAUAUGAAACACUCUUGUAUAUUCAGCAGAGGCCAUGAUUUGCUGAUAUGGCUAAUUUUAAAGCUGUAGGUGUUAUUCCAGAAGAAUUAAAUUGGCAAUAGAAGAAGAAGUUUUUACAUGAUGCCAAACAGUUCAUAUGGGAUGAUCCGUAUUUAUUCAAGAUUAGAGCUGACAAUCUCUUGAGAAGAUGUAUAACAAUAGAAGAAGUAGAAGGAAUUCUUUGGCAUUGUCAUAAUUCACCUUAUGGAGGCCCUUAAAAUGGAGAACAAACAACGGCGAAAAUUCUUCAGGCAGGAUUUUAUUGGCCUACGUUGUUUAAAGAUGCUCAUAAUCAUACUAGAAAUUGUGACAAGUGCCAAAGGACAGAGGCUAUUUCAAGACAACAUGAGAUGCCAUUACAAGGAAUUUUAGAAGUAGAAGUUUUUGACUGCUGGGGUAUUGAUUUUGUUGGACCUUUUCCACCAUCUUUUAAUAAUGAAUAUAUUGGUGGCGGUUGAUUAUGUGAGUAAAUGGGUUGAAGCCUUAGCAUGUCCCAAGAAUGAUGUCAAUACUGUGAUAAAAUUUUUAAAAGGGCAAAUCUUUUAAUGUUUUGGAACUCCCAGGGUACUCAUCAGUGAUGGGGGAUCUCAUUUUUGUAAUCUUCAGCUUGCAAAGGUACUUAAACAUUAUGGGGUCAGACAUAAAGUAGCAGCACCUUAUCAUCCACAAACAAAUGGUCAAGCUGAAGUUUCUAACAGGGAGAUAAAGAGAAUUUUAGAAAAGACGGUUGUUGUUUCAAGAAAAGAUUGGUCGCAUAAGCUAGAUGAUGCUCUUUGGGCAUACAGGAUGACUAUGAAGACUUCUAUGGGGCUCUCACCUUUUCAGUUGGUGUAUGGGAAAACAUGUCACUUGCCAAUGGAGAUGGAGCAUAAAGCUUUGUGGGCUUUGAAAUUUUUAAACGUUGAUCCUCAUGAAACUCAAAGCAAACAUAGAAGUCAACUUUUGGAGCUUGAACAAAUGCAGUUACAUGCAUAUGACUCAUCUAUGAGUUAUAAGGAAAAGGUAAAAUUUUAUCAUGACAGGAAGUUGAUAAAGAGAGCUUUCAGCCCUAGACAACAGGUGUUAUUAUUCAAUUCAAGGCUGAAGUUAUUUCCUGGAAAGUUGAAGUCAAAAUGAUCAGGGCCUUUUCUAAUAAAACAUGUACAUCCUCAUGGAGUAGUUGAAUUGGUGAAUCUGGCUGAGAGUGAUUCACAAGAGAUUUGGUUGGUGAAUGCUCAAAGACUUUAGCAUUACCUUGGAGGAGAGUGGAGCAACUUCCCACGGUGAUGAAAUUGGUGGAUCCGUAAGGUAUUGGGUCAAGCUCGUGACGUUAAACAAGCGCUUACUGGGAGGCAACCCAAGGUUUUAUUUUUCUUUUUCCUUUGUAAUUUGAACUUUUGGAAUAGGUUGAAUUAUGUUGAGUAUUGUAGGUUUUAUGGUACUUUCUUGAAAACCUUAUUUGAUUAUGGUUUGACUUGUUGAUUGCAUGAUGAGUGUUCUUGAUGAUGUUUGAUGUGGAUGAAGAUUGAGAUUGCUUUACAUGCUUUUAUACAGGUGAAUUGUUCACAAGCCGUGUGAACAGAUGCAUGAUGAGUUAUGAUUGUGGUUAUGAUGCUAAGCAAGGUGUAUGAUUGGUAUUUGAGCUAUUGAGUGAGCAUAGUUGUGUGAGGUCUUAGGAUCCAGAGUUUUUGAUUGAUUUAUUUGCUAUUCAUUUGAGAGGACGAAUGAUUUUGCCUGAGUCUCUAUGAUUGAUUGAAUUACAUGUUUUUGUCAUAUGAUCCAGGUCAUUUUUGGAAGCCCUUACUUAGCCAACUUUUCACCCAAAGUAAAGGGAACAAUUUGUUCUACCCUUUUUGAACCUUAUCCUGAAACACUUUGAAAACCUUUUUGAGAAAAAUCUUUACCUUGAGUUGAGUUGAGAAUAAUUAAAUGGUAUUAACAAAGGUUCAAGUUUGGGGUUGUUGGGAGAAUAGAAGGGCAAAAAGAAAAGCAUUGAGCUAAGGUAUUGAAUGAAAAAGCAUGAGAAAAGAUAGAAAAGAAAAGAAAAGAAAAGCAUGAACGAUAAGCUCAAUGCAAAAGUAAAAGAAAAAGGGAAAAGUUGAGUGUUAGUGUCUUAGUAUUGAGUCUGUUUUCUAUUUCUUUUGUUCUUGUUUUGGUUUUUUUGUGUUGUACCUAUUUCUUAAUAUGAAAGAAAGUUAUUUUUCAGUUUUAAUCAGUUUGUGUGGAUAACAAUUUGUGAUUGAUGAUUUAAUUUGAUUGUUAAUCGAUUAAUCAACUUGUAUGUAUGCAAUUUAAAUAUUUCAUUGUUACAUUCUUGUCAUUGCAUAUUAAUACUUAAAUUGUGUUAAUGUUUACUAUACUACAUAAAUACAAAAAUGAUUGAUCAAGAUAAGUCUGAACGGUUAUGCAGGGAUACAAAUUACUAAUUGAGUUGAGAUGGAAAAUUAAAAUUACUUUGCAACAAGAAAUCGAUUAAGAGGAAGUCCUAAUCGAUUGAGAUUCGUCAUUUGGUUUGGAGUUUCUAUACUUCUGAUUUAUAAAAUUUGAAACCAUGACUUGUUAUCUAUUAUAUGUUUAUUCAUGUUAUAUCUCUUUGUGUUUAAUCCGCUGGGAAUUUGAUUUGAGAUUUUAAGUGAUUAAACUGAUUUGGUUGAUUCAAAAUGUAUCAAAUUUACUCUGAUAUGACUUUUGUAAUACUUUCUGAUACAUUUAUUGAACAUACUUGAGUGAUACAUACUCUGAAAUAUCUUUGUUAUGCAUCUGUUAUUUGAUAUUUGAAUAUGCAAAUUGUCAGGGGGAGUAUUGUAUGAUUGUAUAAUGGUUCACAUGUUAUAAGAGGGGAGAAUAUCAUAAAAUCAUGUGAAGAUUAUUGAGAGGGGGAGCAUCAAAGUUAUUCUGUUAUACUAAUUGAUGCAUCUCCACUUGCUUCAUUAUCUUUAUUUCAAUUAUUGUGUACAAAAUGCCUUUUUUGCUAAUGCCCAAAGGGGGAGAAAUGUUUCAUGUAUUUGAAGUAAUUGAACUAUGUUACUGAGAUAAUUGAAAAUGCAUUUGAUUGUGGAUUGUACAACAUGGUUUUUAUUAAUCAUGGUUGUGCAUCAUCAAAAUAAAGGGGGAGAUUGUUGAUAGGGGGAGCAUAGUCUUAGCUAAACCCACUCCUUGAUGUUUGUUUUUGAUGAUGACAACACAUAGUUAAUAAAAACACAUGUGUAUGUAUUGUGCAACUGUGUUAUAUAUGCUUACGCUUACUAUGAGAUUUACGCAUGCAUUUUGUGAUUGUCACAUUGGACAUAUUGUAUUAAUUAUUGCAUACGACUGUGUUUAUAUAGUGAUCAUAUAUGUGUAUGCAUAAUAUGUGUUUUGGAAAUGGAAAAACUACAUGCACCAAGCAUAUCUGCAUGACUUAAUCGAUUACAAUGUUGUGUUAAUCAAUUAAGGUCAUCAGACAGCUUUAGCUUUUAAACUGUGGCAAAAUAACAAGUUUUCAAUUGAUUACGUUAGUUGCUAAAUCGAUUAAAACUCGUGUGUUUGCACAAAUAUUUUUCAAGUGUGAUGUGAUGAAUUUUGAGAAGAAAAGUUUUCAAAAAUAUGCUAAGUGUUGAAGCUUAAUCAAUUACAUGGAUAAUGUAUUCAAUUGAGUCUGUUAAAGUUUUGAAAAUUGUUUCAUGCUUGUCAUAACUGUCUCAACGGUCAUAUUUUUAAAUAUGCUGACUAAGCAUUAAAUGCAAAUCGAUUACAUUAAUUGAGCAUUCAAUUAAUUGCUUUGACUAUUGUUAAUAUGUAAUAAAUGUGUAAUGUAACUGAUUAGGUUAAUAGCGUAAUCGAUUAAAAUGCAUCAGAUUUGACUAACUCUAUAUAUAGAUGCAUUGAUUUAAUUUCUAUAAGAGAAUUGAGUUUAACAUUUUCAUAUUUGAUUCAGAUUGAGUUGCAAAGUCUUACUGAGGUGAUCGAACGCUCCAAGAAACAAGAAAUUAUCGUGGUGUACAAGUCUUGAAGAUUUCUUAAGAGACAAGGCUGGUUGAUUUGAAGAGUCUGAUCUUUCUGUAUAAUUGAGGUGCUUUUUGUGUGAUCAGGAGUUUCACAAUUGCUAAAUAUUGUUGUUUCCCUGUGCGUGUUGCCAGGAAGAAGAACGUGGUGUUCUUUACUUUGAGAAUGUUCUUAAAGGGGUGACUGUAGGAAAGGAUUGUUCUUAUUGCAAGUCUUUUGUAUUUGGCUAUAUUAGAUUAGUGAGUUAAAGAGGUGAUUUGCAUUUUGACAAUGUUGUCGCUGUAAAGCCCUUGUUGUAAAAACUCAGAUCUUUAUAGUAAUUGGCUUUAAUCUCGGGUUGAUUGAAAGGACACUGGAUGUAGGCAGUUGAGGUCGAACUAGUAUAAACUCAGAGUUUGAAUUUUCUUCUCCCUAUCUCUCUGCAUUAGUCGAUUAUAUUUUUUCUUUAUUCGAAUACGCAUGUAGUUACAUUACAUACAUUUUUUAUUGUUGUUCAAGAAAGGUUUAAAGAAUUAUAGUAUUUGCGAAAAAGAUUUCAAAAGCGAUCAUUUUUAUAAAAUACCAAUUCACCUCCCCCCCCUCUUGGUCUUGAGAAACAAAGAACAUCUUUUCUAACAAACAUAAAUAGGCUUUUUGUAUUUAGCUUGAAAAGAAUUUGUGUACUUGUUACUAAACGUAGGCAUAAUUUAGUAGAUAGUUGGAAUAUGUUUUGUACAAUCGUGUAGGUUAGAAGUGACACUGAAAAAUAAUUGUAAGAUUUAAAUUGUUUAAAACCUUCGCAUUUUUGCAUUGAAAAAUUAAACAUAGUCUAGUCUAGUAUGAACUGCUAUUAGAAUUAAAAAUGUUCACUAUCUAUCUCUAUUGGUGUCACAUCAUAUAUCUUUGUUGCUUUUGAAACCUUUUAGAAAACCUUUUGUGAACCAUUUUCUAAAGUUGUUAGACUAGUCUCUUAUAGAGUUUUCUUUUUAUCAGCAAAAAAUAAUAAAUAAAAAAGGACAAUUGGGUUGCCCCAACUCAUACAUAAAGUAAUAGUGCCUUUUAGAGUGAAUCCUUGCAACUAGUUAGUAUCAAACUUUACCUUUUAUGGUGAGUUCUUUGAAGUUUUAAGACUCAAAUGGUCUAUGUAGGAGAAACAAGGUGAUAGAACAUCAAUAUGCAAGAAAAACAAGGUGUCAAAACAUUUGUUUAGGGAUCAGGGUGUCACAACCCCAAUAUGUAAGGAGAAACAAGGUGUCAAAACCCCAAUAUGCAAGAUAAAUAAGGAGUCAAAACCUAGGUGCAGGGAUGAAGGUGUCGAGAACCCAUUAUUCAAGAUAAGAAAGUUGUUGAAACGUUGGUAUAAGGAUCAAGGUGUCAAAACCCCGAUAUGCAAGAGAAACAAGCUUCUAGAAGUAGAGAUCAUGUGUCAAAACAUCAAUAUGUAGGAGAAACAAGAUUUCAAAACCUUUGUGUAGGAAUCGGCAUGUUAGAACCCUAAUACGCAAGAAGAAACAAGGUGUUUAAACCUUAGUGUAGGAAUUAAGGUCUCAAAACCCCAAUAUACAAAAGAAAUAAGGUGUCAAAACCUUGAUGUAGGGGUCAGGGAGUUGGAACCUCAUUAUGCAACAGAAACUAGGUUUCAAAAUCUUGGUAUAGGGAUUAGGGUAUUAAAACCCCGAUAUGCACUACAAUAAAAAAACUUAUUACCUACAGUCAAAAUUCGUAGGUAAGCCUAAAAUUUCGUAUGUAAUACAAUGUUACCUACGAAUUACCUAUGGACAAAAAUUCGUAGAUAAAACAGUCAUAGCAAACGAUACUUGCGGAUUUAUCUGUAGAUAAAUUACAUACAAAAAAAUAUGUAGAUAAUUAUCAGUAAAAAUUACAUACGAAUUUAUUUGUCGAUAUUUUUGAGAUUGUUGACAACACAAUUUCUAUAUCAAUCUAGUUUUUUAUGAUGGAAACACAUUGCUUAAUAAUACGCACAUGUUGUUGAUGAAUUACAUGUUCAUAUAAUGAUUGAUUGUUAUAUCUGUUGAACAUGUUUAUAUAUUGUGUUACAUGUUCCUAUGUUGAUUGAUUGAUAUAUCAGCUGAACAUGUUUAUGUGCAUUAUGUGCUCUGUGCAAUGCAUCAUUACAUAUGUUUUAUUGCACAUGUUUUAAAGCUGAAAACCACAAGCACUUGUAUGAACUUAUCACUGUGUGACAAAGUUAUAGUGCAGUCGACUCCAUUUCUAAUAGAUUCGACUAUACUAAAAUCUUUGUACAGAUUUUGAGAAUUAGUGCUUUGUGAAAUUUUGAGAAGAAAAGAAUUUCAAAAUGUUUUACAUGUUGAAGUCGACUUUGUGUAUUACAUAUCUGACUGUAUUAUUUGUCUGGUUUGAAAUUCUGUUAUGCUCUUGCGCUCCAACGACUAUAUUUUUUGAAGUUAGUUGAGCAUUGAUGACUUGGUCAACUGUGUUAAAUGUGUUUUAUUUGUGGUUGACUAUAUGCUACCAGUUUGACUGAUCUAUUAUAAUUGUCAUAAUCCAGUCGACUAUAUUAGUAGCAUAUUCGACUGUGAGACUAUCUGUUUAACAGAAAUCUAUAAAUAGAUUGAACACGAUUUUGUUCAGAGACUUUUGAUUAUCUAACAUUUUCAUUUCUAUUUCAGAUUGAAUUCUCCAGUUAGAGAGCUCCAAGAAUUCUCCAAGAAGACGGUGGUGAUCUUUCUUGAAAGAGAUUCAAAGGGAGGCUGACUGGGCACACAUUGCUCGACCAUAUUUUGCACAAAGAAGGAGCUUCUAGUUUGAUCACGAGGCUUGGCAUCCUUGAAGACUGCUGAUUUGAUUCUGGCUUGGCAUCUGUAAAGGCUACUGGAUUUGGACCUGUUGUGAUUACAGGGGAUAGUUCAUUCUGAGGAUUGUUCAGAGUGGUUGGCAGAUUGCAGAAGAGGGGAUAUCUUAUUGCAUUUCUUGUUGUUGUUAUUGCCUAUAUUUUGGUUAUGGGUUAGAGAGGAGAUUUAUAGUUUUGACGUGGAGGUCUUGUAUAAAUUCCUUGUUGUAAAAACCGCAACAAUUAUAGUGCAUUUGCUUCCUGGGUUGGAAGGACACUGGAUGUAGGCAUUCUUGGCUGAACCAGUAUCAAAACAAUGUUUGUUUUUCUCUAUCCCUGCACUUUUACUUUACAGUUGACUUUCAAUUUAACACAGUCAACUACGUUUUUUCGCUGCAUACUAAUUUUCAUUACUUGCAUUUCAAGAAAGUUGGAAAAGUUUCAUACUUUGAUUAUAAGAUUGCGAAAAGAUUUUGUUUUUGAUAAAACACCAAUUCACCCCCCUUCUUGGUGUAAAAAGAAGCCUACUUGUUUUCCAACAAAUAUUUACAUACAAAUUUAUUUGUAGAUAAUUACAUACAAAUUUAUCCGUAGGUAAAUUACAUAUACAGAUUUAUCUGUAAGUAAUUGCCUACAAAUUUUCAUACUACCAACUGAUAAAUCCAUAUUUAAUUACCUAUGAUUAAAUUUGUAUGUAAUUACUAUUGGACUAUUUUGGCAAGUGUACCGAGUGGCACAAGUAAUAUAAAAUGGUAAGACCAAGUAUCGUACCCCAAAAGACUCUCGGAGCUAGACAAUCGUGUGAUAACAAGAUUAAUUAAGACUUAAAAAUAAAAAGAGAUCAUUGAUUUUGAAUGCGAAAACAUAAAAUUAAAUAUGAAUGCAAUUGAUCAUUAGCAAAAGAGCACAUAGAUGAACGAAUGUUGAUUAAUAUAAGAUGGGUAUGUUGCUAGGGUUAGAUUUCACCAAGUUCCCUCUCACUAUAUAAGAAUUCUUCUUUUAUGGAUUAAUGCCAACGUCACUCACUAAAUCAUCGAAACCCGAUCCCUCGGCGAAUAAGCCUGUCCCAAAUUACCAGUUCAUGCAAUUCGUAACAUUCCUAGUAAUAAGAUGUGAAGAUCAAGAGCUUAAAGAUGACCAAGACUCAUACCCUCAUUACUGAGCAAUAUUACUCUUGGGAGUAAUUCAACAAGAACCUGAAUUGUAAGGAACCUCUCGGCACUCAUUCAAUUCUUAAAUCAUGCUAAUGAAUGAGUUAAACAAAAGCAAGCAUAGAAACAGAUGAAUUACUCUAACAAUUAAUGGAAAAGCAUAUGAGAAAUAGAAAUUAGUUCCCCACAGACAUGGAGAAACUAUAUGAACAAUGGAAGAGAAUGAGACAAAAAUCCAUAACAAUUGGGAAAAGAGUGUAUUGUUGUGCUCUUUCUGCAAGUGAUACAAAACCUAGAGCCCCAGAGUCCCUUAAAAGUGUUGAGAUUGUUGAGAUUGUUGAUAAGGGAAGUACUGGUUUAGCUAACCUUCAUCUCAUAGUGCUCUAGCUACUAUGGUUUUUGAUGAUGACAACACAUUAUUAAUAACACGUGUAUUGUUAUGUGUUACAUGUUCUAUUCUUUAUUAUGGAUGAUAUAUAUAAAUGAACAUGUUUCUGUUGAUAUUGAUAUGUGAAUGCACAUUCUCUGAGCUUAUAUCUAAUACAUCAUUUAGGAUUGCAUUGCAUAUGUUUUUGAAGAGAAAACCACAUGCACUUUGAUGAACAUAUAUUGCGUGGCAUAACAGCAAGUUUUAAUUCGACUUCAUUAUGAAGUGAGUCGGUUAAAACUCGUGACUAUGCACAGAUUUUCAAAAGCAGUGCUAUGUGUGAUUUUGAAUUGAAAAGAUUUUCAAACUAAGCUGAUGUGCCUAAGUCGGCUACAUGCGCAGUAGACACAAAUAAUGGCAAAUGUACACAAGAAAAAAAUCAAUUACUAUUAUAUACACACGUUCAUUUCAUUGAACUUUACCUGAGGAGACCAUCUUCUACAAUCCCUCAUUUGAUAAUUUCAAAAAUUUCCCACCUCUUCAUCAGGUAUCACGGUUAAAAGAGAGUAUUUUACUUUAAGUGAUAUCUUUCCCUUCUCCACGAAAAGCCUUGCACAAGAAACAACCUAGUAGCCAGGAAAGUCUUGUGGCCCUCUUGCCAUUUCAGUUGUGUCAACAAACCUUAGAAGUUUGGGUGACUGAGUAGGCACAGGAGGUCCCCCAAGAUAUAAAGCUGAGUUGAUGUUCACAUCAGACGACCGUGGUGGCGGUGGCUUUUGUGGACCUGAGAAGUAAGUGUUGAUCAAUGUUGAGAUUAUUCUAGGUUUUUGGGUCAAGCCAGGAGAACCAUCCCACUGAGGUUCUUUGACCCUGGUUGCAUGGAGAACUUUAGAGAAAUGAAAUCCUAGAAAUAGAACUUUCUUAAGACCAGUAUCUUCAACUUCGAAGUGAGCACCAGUCACAACAACAUGUUCAUCACCGGAUUGAACAGGAGUUGUGCAAACAUGAGAGAAACUCUUCCAUUGAACUUUCUCAUAGUACUUACGUUCUGAAGAGUCAUUGGAUGCAUUCCCAUUAGGCUCAUCCUGGAGUUGGAAGGUUUUGGACAGAGAGGAGAGGUGCUGUAAAUGAAUUGCCAAGCAGUUGCUUCUCUUUCCUUCCAAAUACAAUCGAAGGCCUAUCACAGGCUUCUUUCCCACAUCAACCUGUACGUAAGUGGAUAGUUUGUAACAUUAUGUAAAAUACAUCUAGUAAAAUUUUGAUGACUAGAUGUAUGUUUUUGGGGGGUUGCAUGUCACUCUUGUCUCAUUUACUUUUGUACGCGAUAUUUUGCAAAUUGUUUUUGCAGAAACUAGUAACCCAUUAAUUACAUCAAAUUUUACUGGUCACAUUUGUACUCAUAAAGAGCCUUAUGUUUCUUUGUUUAGUCAUCAAAAGUAGUUUGCUAAUGCAUUCAUUAUUUAGAUGUAUUUUACAUAAUGUUACGAACUUGAUCCACUUACGUACAGGUUGAUGUGGGAAAGAAGUUUGUGAUAGGCCUUCAAUUGUAUUUCGAAGGAAAGAGAAGUAACUGCUUGGCAAUCCAUUUACAGCACCUUUCCUCUCUGUCCAAAACCUUCAAACUCCAGGAUGAGCCUAAUGGGAAUGCAUCUAAUGACUCUUCAGAACAUAAGUACUAUGAGAAAGUUCAGUGGAAGAGUUUCUCUCAUGUUUGCACAACUCUUGUUCAAUCCGGUGAUGAACAUGCUGUUGUGACUGGUGCUCACUUCGAAGUUGAAGAUACUGGUCUUAAGAAAGUUCUAUUUCUAGGAUUUCAUUUCUCUAAAGUUGUCCAUGCAACCAGGGUCAAAGAACCUCAGUGGGAUGGUUCUCCUGGCUUGACCCAGAAUUCUGGAAUAAUCUCAACAUUGAUCAACACUCACUUCUCAGGUCCACAAAAGCCACUGCCACCAUGGCCGUCUGAUGUGAACAUCAACUCAGCUUUAUAUCCUGGGGGACCUCCUGUGCCUACUCACUCACCCAAACUUCUAAGGUUUGUUGACACAACUGAAAUGACAAGAGGGCCACAAGACUUUCCUGGCUACUGGGUUGUUUCUAGUGCAAGGCUUUUCGUGGAGAAGGGAAAGAUAUCACUUAAAGUAAAAUACUCUCUUUUAACCGUGAUACCUGAUGAAGAGGUGGGAAAUUUUUGAAAUUAUCAAAUGAGGGAUUGUAGAAGACGGUCUCCUCAGGUAAAGUUCAAUGAAAUGGACAUGUGUAUAUAAUAGUAACUGAGUCUUUACUUAUGUACAUUUCCCAUUACUCUUUUUUGUAUUGAAUUGUGAAAACAUGGUUGAGUUAAUAAUCAUGGUUGUGCAUCAUAAAAAAAGGGGAAAUUGUUAAGAUUGUUGACAACACAAAAUCUUUAUCAAUCUAGUUUUUGAUGAGGACAACGCUAUGCUCAAUAACAGUACAUAUGUUGUUGCAUUACAUGUUCUUAUGUUGUACUGUUUGAUAAAUCUACUGAACAUGUUUGAUGUACUGUGGUGUAUGUUCCUAUGUUAAUUGUUUGAUAUAUUUGUGGAACAUGCUUAUAUGCUUAUGUGCAAUGUGAAAUACUUUAUCAAAUAUAGGUUACUGCACGUUUUGCAAAGUGAAAAAUCACAAGCAGAUUUAUGAACUUAUAACUGUGUGACAAAGUUAUAGUACAGUCGACUACAUUAGUAUUGGAUUCGACUAUGCUAAAACCUUUGUACCGAUUUUGAGAAUCAAUGUUUUGUGAAGUUUUGAAUUCAAAAUAAUUUCAAAGUGUUUUUUUUAUGAGACAGUCGACCUUGUCCAAUGUACAUUCGAUUGUGUUUUUAAUGUGUUUUGGAAUUAUGUUAUGCUACUACGCUCCAACGACUAUAUUUUUAAAAGUUACUUAAGCAUUGAUGACUUGGUCAACUGUAUUAAAUGUGUGUUGUUUGUUGUUGACUAAGAGCUACUAUGUUGAUAGUAUGUUAUAAUUGUAAUAAUACAGUCGACUGAAUUAAUAGCAUAUUCGACUCAGAAACAAUUUGAAUGACAGAAAACUAUAAAUUGAUUGAACGCGAAUUGUUCAGAGACUUUUGACGCUAACAUUUUCAUUACUUGUUUCAGAUUGAAUUCUCUAUUUUAGCUCCAAGAAUUCUCCAAGAAGACGGUGGUGAUAUUUCUUGAGAGAGAUUUAGAGGGAGAUAGCUUGCGCGUUCACUGCUUGAUCAGAAACUGCACAAGAAGGUGCUUCUUGAUUGAUCGUUGAAGACUUGGCAUCCUAUGAAGACUGUUGUGUUAAGGCUUGGCAUCUAUGAAGAGUGCUUGAAUUUACACGUUGAGGAUUGUUCCACGUGGGUUCAGAUUGCAGAAGAAGGGAUUCUUGCUGCAAGUCUGGUUUUGGUUAUUGCAGCUAUAUUUUGGUUUUGGGUUAGAAAGGAGAUUUAUAUUUUUGACGUGAGGUCUCCUAUAAAUUCCUUGUUGUAAAAUCCGUAACCUAUAUAGUACAUUUGCUUCCUGGAUUGGAAGGACACUGGAUGUAGGCAUUGUAUGUCGAACCAGUAUAAAAACCAGUGUUUGAUUUUCUUUAUCCCUGCACUCUUUAUUUUAGUUGACUAUAAUUAUUAAGCAGUCAACUUCGUUUUUCCGCUGCAUAGAAAUUUUCAUUACUUGCAUUUCAAGAAAGAUAAAAAAGCUUUAUACUUUUGUAUAAAAGAUUGCGAAAAGAAUUUGUUUUUGAAAUAACACCAAUUCACCCCCCUCUUAGUGUAAAAAAGCCUAUCUAGUUUCUCAACAAUUGGCACCAAAGUUGGUUUUCAUAAGAUAUUUGAAAAUUUAGUCGAUUCUGUUUUUAUCGUAUUCGACUAUAAAACCUAGGGAUGACUUCCUGUUUUCAAACUUUUGGUAAAGGUGCUUCAACAAACAGAGCACCUCUGUUUGCUGUGAAAAUUAUCCUUUUUGGAAAAUUCGAAUGCAAAUCUUUCUUGAAUCGCAAGAUAAGGGAAUUUUGGAUGCCACUUUAAAGUCCAUAUGUGCCUACAAAAACUGUUGAUAAAGAAACUGUUUUAAAACCUUUUACUGAGUGUGUCGAAACCAGAAUCGCAACGGGACGACUAUCCAAAAAGAAAACAAAGAAACUUUUGAAAAAGUUUUGGAGUCGCCACCAUAGUUUAUUCUGGAAAACUACGGGAAAAACUUAAAUGAUAAAGCGUGGUCUGUGAAAACCAGAUUUUGGGUUCGGGAGUCGGUUACGUGUAGGGAAGGUAUUAGCACCCUACAACGCCUGCCCUAAGGCAGUACCUUUAAUUAAAUACGCAAAGUUGAUGUGGUUUUCAAAAUGUUUAAUUAUUCCCAAAAAUAAAAUUCCAAAGAAACAAAAAUAUUUUUUUUUUAUUUUUUUGUGCCUGACAAUGAUUGAUAUUCUCCUACGUAUUCUCCAAAUGAGAAAUCAAGGCUACGUAGUUCUAGUUGAAAGAUUGUUUGUUGUUUGGAAAUAUGAUUGUUUUUGUAUAAGGAAAGGAAAAGGUUUUUUAGCAUAAGGACAAUGCGAACGAUCACACACGCGCUUAAACCUUUAAAACAUUUUUGGAUAUUUAUUUAUUUUAUAAAGGAAGAAACGGUCUCAGCACGAGGACGAUACGAGCGAUCACGCAUGCGCUUAAACCUUUAAAACAUUUUUGGAUAUUAUUUUUUUAUAAAAGAAGAAAUGGUUUCAGCACGAGGACAAUGCGAGCGAUCACACACGCGCUUAAACCUUUAAAACAAUUUUGGAUAUUUAUUUAUUUUAUAAAGGAAGAAAAGGUCUUAGCACGAGGACGAUGCGAGCAAUCACAUAUGCGCUUAAACCUUUUUAACAUUUUUUUGAUAUUUUUUAUAAAAGAAGAAAAGGUCUUAGCACGAGGACGAUGCGGGCGUGUUCAAACCUUUAAAACAUUUUUUUAUAUUUUUUAUAAGAAGAAAAGGUCUCAGUACGAGGAUGAUGCGAGCGAUCACACACGAGCUUAAACCUUUAAAACAUUUUUUGAUAUUUUUAAAAAAGAAGAAAAGGUCUUAGCACGAGAACGAUGAUCACAUACGUGCUCAAACCUUUAAAACAUUUUUUUUCUUAUAAAAAAAGAAAAGGUCUCAACACGAGAAUGAUGCGAGCAAUCACACACGCGCUUAAACCUUUAAAACAUUUUUUGAUAUUUUUAAAAUGGUUUAAUACCCAACUUUGUCCCUAGUUUGGUUGAUAAAUCUCAAUUUAGUCCCUCUUUAGAAAAGUGUUUGAAAUUGGUCCUUACUUUUAAAUUUUUGAGUCAAAAUAGUCCAUUCCGUUAAAUAAUGACAAACAGUGUUAAAUUUUUUUUCUCUCUCUUCUCAUUUUCUGUGCAUUGCAUGUUUUUGUCAGCCUUUGCAGUAUUUAAUGAUUAUUGUACUUUUCCCAAUAAAAUUUAAUAUGAUUAAAUAAAAAAUUUAAUUUUUUAAUGAUUUUUUUNNNNNNNNNNNNNNNNNNNNNNNNNNNNNNNNNNNNNNNNNNNNNNNNNNNNNNNNNNNNNNNNNNNNNNNNNNNNNNNNNNNNNNNNNNNNNNNNNNNNNNNNNNNNNNNNNNNNNNNNNNNNNNNNNNNNNNNNNNNNNNNNNNNNNNNNNNNNNNNNNNNNNNNNNNNNNNNNNNNNNNNNNNNNNNNNNNNNNNNNNNNNNNNNNNNNNNNNNNNNNNNNNNNNNNNNNNNNNNNNNNNNNNNNNNNNNNNNNNNNNNNNNNNNNNNNNNNNNNNNNNNNNNNNNNNNNNNNNNNNNNNNNNNNNNNNNNNNNNNNNNNNNNNNNNNNNNNNNNNNNNNNNNNNNNNNNNNNNNNNNNNNNNNNNNNNNNNNNNNNNNNNNNNNNNNNNNNNNNNNNNNNNNNNNNNNNNNNNNNNNNNNNNNNNNNNNNNNNNNNNNNNNNNNNNNNNNNNNNNNNNNNNNNNNNNNNNNNNNNNNNNNNNNNNNNNNNNNNNNNNNNNNNNNNNUAUUGGGAAAAGUACAAUAAUCAUUAAAUACUGUAAAUGCUGACAAAAACCUGCAAUGCACAGAAAAUGAGAAGAGAAAAAAAAAAUUUAACACCGUUUGUCAUUAUUUAACGGAAGGGACUAUUUUGACUCAAAAAUUUAAAAGUAAGGACCAAUUUCAAACACUUUUCUAAAAAGGGACUAAAUUAAGAUUUGCCAACCAAACUAGGGACAAAGUUGGGUAUUAAACCUUUUAAAAUUUACUUAAAAGUAGAACUGAAUGAAAAUAAAAAGUAAAAUUAAAAUAAACUAAAAAGUUAUAUGAUAAGAUAAAAUAAAAAAACAAAAUAAUAAGUAAAAAAGAUAUAGGAAUGCUUAAAUAAGAAGAGGAUGCCUAAAUCAUUUUUUUUUUGUUUAAAAAACGAACUGAGACUAAGCCCAAGGGGAAAGGGGGUGUGAAUAUGAAACAAGGGCUGCAAACCAAUUUCAAUUUUUAAUAAUAGAUUGGGCCUAAGCCCAAUAGGAAAGGAGUGCGGCUUAGAAGAAGCAGGGGUGCAGAAGGAAAGUACUUUUGUUUUUUUUUUGUUGCCAAGCCCAGGACCGGCCUAGGAUUUUCCUUACCCCAAACUCAGAAACCCCCUUAGGGGUUCUCCCACUUUCUCUUCAUUCCAAACUUACUCUACUCACGCACACCAGAGACAAAGUCUCAUUCUCUCACACAGCCCAAGAUUGGGGUUCACACGCCACCACACUACCCGUCCGGCCGCACUCCCAUUCGGUCAGCCAUGGUGACGCCGGCGUCACCUCUACCAUCCAGCCAGCCACCGCAGGCCACGGCGACCUCGCCCUUUUCCUCUCUGCGCGAACGCGAUUCCAACUCUGAUAUCUCACUGCUCCCGCCACUUCCACCGGAACUGGCAGCCACGAGUCGCAGCCCCAUGCGUCGCAAGCACCUACGCUCGCCGCCAGAGCCAUCGCCGGCCACGGCGUCAGGCUCUCUCCCUCUCUCCUCUUCAUUUCGCGCACUGUCCAGAGUCGCCGCCGGUACCUGCGAUUGACACCAGCAACCACAUCGGCUUCGCUACUAAUAUCCUGGGAUUUCCCUUUGGAAACUUGCGGUUCCGAUCCCGACCAACUAGGGGUGGUGGUGGAGUAGUCGUAGAAGACAUGGGAUUGGGAACUGCUUCAGGCUUGGGGGUUCCACUGUCGGGGUUAGCUCGUUUGGAUGUCAUUGUAGUGGAAGCAAUUGGACGGGUGGAGGCACCGAAACUGCCAGUGGUUGCUGCACGACGAUGAUGGAGGCGGGGCAACUACCGAAAUUGCCGUUAUCGAAGCGUACGAAGGAGGUGUCGUGGUGAUCAAUUUCGGUUUCAAUUUCCAGGGCCGAAUAACGGAUGAAUAGAGUUUGAGCUUUUUGGCUAUGUAAGACUGUUGUGGUGGUUGUUCUUUCUCUUGGAGAGGAAGAAGAAGCAGAGGUUGUGUGUGAGGGGUUUACGAAGAUGAAUGGAGAUGAAUUUGUAGAUUAGUGAUGAACGAGAAUGGUUCUUUGUGUUUCUUUAUGGAUUGAAUAAAAAUGGAGCUUAGCAUUGAGUGGUUGAAGGUGUGAUGGACAGUGCAGGGACGCAUCAUCAUUUGGGUUCAGUGUGGGUAAGAUACAAGCUUGUGUAUGGGGCUGGAAAUUAGUUUUGGUUCUUGGUGAUUGGUGCCUAUCUCUGUGACUUGGUGCCUUGCAGGUUGAGGGUGAUCUAGGCUAUAUAAACUACACUCUCUGGUUUUGUCCACUUCUAAACUUUCGUUAGAGUUUUCUACCUUGGUUUUGUAUAUCAAGUCUCUCUGUUUAUUCCAUGUCUGUUGAGAUAUAUUCUCAGUUGUGAACGACUUAAGUUAACUGGGUUAGUUUUCCUUUUUUUGGUUGUUGGCUCUUUUGGACACAGGGAAAAGGAACAGAGCACGGGAUAAUGGGGAUAAUGAUAAAGAUCGGGAAAGUUUUAUGUGACGGUAUCAUACACGAUUAUAGUAGGAAAAUAUUCAACAACAGUCAUAGCAGCAAUGUAACAAUAAUAUGUUCAAGAGUAAGCAACCAGUCUUACUAAGCAUUGAGUGCAAGGAGGCAUUACUUACAUCUUGAAAACUCGAUUGCUAAUGUCAACCUUGUGAUUCCAAUGGGUCUCUCCCUUUUCCCUGGCCAACGAGCUUCUCCCUUCCCCUUUCUGUGGAUCCUCCGACUCCAACGAGAUGAUUCUUUUUUAUGGUGAAGAGAGUUGUCUCGUCAUCUCCCUUCAGUGAGUCUCCACUUCUCGCUAUCAAAGUAUAUUCCCCUACAAAACCACCCGUCCUUUGCUUUUUCUUUGCUUUAUCGCAGAAAUCCCCAUAACAAAACGCCUCUGCCACCUCCCAAAACCUUGCCUGCAGAAAACGGUUUUUCUUGUCAUCUUGUACAGUCUGCGCCCUCUUUUUCUUUUCCUUUUUUUUUUUUUCGUUUUCCCUUUUUUCUUUUCUUUUUUCGUUUUUUUUAAAUUAAUUAUAUUAAUUAUAUUAAAUCAAAACUAAAAUUACAAGUAAGAAUACAAAUAAAAAAGGAAAAUUGAAAAUUAUAAAAGAAAGAGGAAAGUAAAACAAAAAUAAAUAAAAAAUAAAAAUAUAAUAAUAAUAGUAAAAGAAUAAAAUGAUAACAAGACAUGAAAUAAGAU
rnacentral:lncRNA from 1 species